GCAGUGAAGAACCACAGGGACAAACAUUGACUCUUGAUUUAAAAUUCCCAAUUGCAUUGUAUCUAUCAAUAGCUCCAAUCUUAUUUGUUUUGGUGCAGUCCAUGCUCCUUGUAAACAAGGUUUUCAAAGACAUCAUGAAGACAGGCAGAUGUCUACACAGAGAAAACAAAAAACAAUUUUGCUGCCAAAUAGAGAAGACAGACAAGAAUGAGAAAAAGGAGUAGAACAGACACAAAGAACAAACAAUAUAAUAUUCUUUCAGAUGUUAUCUUAGUUCCAUUGAUUCACUGCCAUAUUUGGAUCUAGAAAUAGACAGUUUGAAGGCUUUGUUUCCAUAUUGCUUGCUUUCACAAUUAAAGUUAAGGUGUGUAGAGGGUUUUUUAAUAUUAAUUUUAAAGUGCUCAAACAGGGUGUGCCUGAUCAUUGGUAAUUGCUGGAAUGGCCUAUAGGCCAUUGUGCCAUUACAGCAAUUCAUGUUUAAAAAUCUAUGGCAUAAUAUGAAAUGGCAUUUAAAGGAGAAGAAUGGCACCCUUGGGAGGAGAAGCUUUUUCAGGUAAAGGAGUCUUAA